rnacentral:lncRNA from 1 species
GGGUGACCAAAAGCGAAGGAGAACUGAGCUACUGUGCCUUAAAUACAGUAAAGGGGAUUUACUGCAUGCAACAUUUCUGACUUUUACAACGAAUGGGGAGCCUUUGGUAUUCCAGAUGUUAUUGAACGACAGCUCCUAUCAACACUGACCAUUGGCCAUGCUAAGUGGGAAUGGUGGGAGAUUAUUGUUGUUGUUGUUGUCCAAAAAUGUCUGGAGAGUCACAGAUUUCUCAUCUUGUAAUCAUGGCAAAUGGCAGCUUCUGAAUUUCCUCUUCUGCAUAAUUAUUAGAGUCACAAGACCCCAUCCUUCUUUGUUUCUGGCCACCCCACAUUUAAACCUUGCUAAAUGUAUUAUAAAUGUACUGUAAUAACAUAUUUCCUUCAUAUGUUUUCAGGGCCUCAAGGGCUUUCAAGCUACUUAAUGUGAAUCCACUAAUUAAAACAAGUUCUUAACCGGGGUUUUAUUCAAAAUAUUUUUCAAAAAAAUGUAUUGUCUCAUGAAAAUAUGAUCACUUCCCACUUUAUUAUCUCUCCUUUUACUAUGCUGGAGUUGUUUUAAAGCAUUUUCCCCCCUCAGCCCUCACAAUUUGUUUUUCUCCCUUUUGCUCAGUUUUCUUCUUGUUUUAACAGUGAUUCCAACAGAGGAUGGUGAUUUCCAGCCAAUCACUGCUGUGCGAUUGUUCAGUUUUAAUAAGUGUGAUCAAUACCAUCAGCUUUCGCCUUUAAAUGCUAAUGAAUGCUUUAAGAGAGCAGAUGUGGACACACAGUAGAGUGUAGAUUAAAAUUAGGCACAGAAUUAAAUUGCUUACAAACAGCAAAGGAAUCCAUUUGGACAUUCUUAAUAACCAACUGCAGCAAGCUGGUGAAGCCUCAGGACCGCUGCUAAAAAAACCCCAAACCAAGCAAACCCAACCCUCACACAUUCAAUAUCAAAAUAUGCAAAACAUUCAUAAUUAUACAUGUUUUGAUGCAAAUUUAUAUGGAACCCCUAGGAACCUAUUUUUCAUGGCACCUGUUAACUUGGCUUGGCAGGUUCCAAGGUGAGAAAGGCCUGAGCGGAACAGCAGCGAACCCAGCAGAAUUAAGUGUAUUAGCCUGGCCUCUUCUAAUGGGGUGACAAAGGACAUGGACACCUCUGAUAUACAGCUGUUCCUUCCACCAGCCCUGCCCCAGCAAGUCCAGAGAGGACAACCCUGCUUUCAAGAAUGUUUUAACAGUGGGAAAUGCAUUUCCAGUCGCGACAGUAGGCAGAUUUGUCUGUAGCGCUUCAGAAUACAUAAACGGCAUAAAUAAUCUGAAAAAUUUGAAGCGAAAGAGCUGAGCUAGAACGUUUUGGGUCAACGUCCCCCGCACUAGGCCUUACAAUUUUUUAUUUUAAAUGUGGGGGGAAACAUUCAAAACUUGUAUCCCCUUAGGUAGUUUGAAAUGGCAUAGUUUAGCUGUUUGUAAGGUGGAUAAAAGUGGCUAGCUGGAAGAAUGGUCUAACGACAAGUGAAGGAUGCCAAGUGGACUCUAAAUAAGAAAUGAUGCGGCUAUGUGAGGAAAUGAGGAUGACCGUAUGCUUGGAACCGGAGCAGGAAACCUGAUUUUAAGAAAUUGUAUUAAAUUAAAUUAAUUUUGUUUGAUUUGUAAUAAUUUGGAAAAAUAAUAAAAAUAACUUGAAAUGGCA